CGUUCGCCUUUGACCAGCAAUGACGACGCAACACCAACGCUCUUCUUCUAGCAGUUUAUUCAGGAAAACUUAACAUUCUUUUUCUUCUACCCCUGGGGAGCACCCGUCCCUAGAAUAAGUACCCCUGAACCAACCAAUCACGGAUAGUCAUGUGGCGAAUGCGGAUAGGUACACGUAAGAGGGGGCAGAGCAUCAGACACAUCACAGCCAAAUAAGGAGUUGUUUAUCAUAAAGAGCUCUCGCCGUCGGGAUGGCGGAAGGCGGAAACCAGCGCCAUCUUUAAGGCGCGGCACACGCAGCUCUCCACAAGUUAUCCCCAUCGUGAUAAAGAGGAGUCUUGUUUUGUAACCAAGAUUGACGCUAUCAUAUUCAUAUUGCAUACCAUCCUACCAAUAAUCUGUGAUUGUCAAGACUGAAAUUGAAAUGUUAAGCAGAGGCACUGAUGGUUCUAGGGGAUUCAUGAGAACCCUGUUAUGUGGAGCUGCUGGAUAACAAGGAAGACAGGAAUUGCACAGGAAAUUACACAGUGGUACUUCCUUGCAAUCCAAUGGAUGCCCUGAAGCACCAGUGCAGCAUCUGUCACAGCACUCAGGAGACCAACAGAGAAUGUUG